rnacentral:rRNA from 1 species
UAGGCCUACGGGACACAGCAGUGGGGAAUUUUGCGCAAUGGGGGAAACCCUGACGCAGCAACGCCGCGUGCGGGACGAAGGCCCUCGGGUUGUAAACCGCUUUCAGCAGGGAAGACUUUACGACGGUACCUGCAGAAGAAGCUCCGGCUAACUACGUGCCAGCAGCCGCGGUAAUACGUAGGGGGCGAGCGUUAUCCGGAUUCAUUGGGCGUAAAGCGCGCGUAGGCGGCCGCCUAAGCGGGACCUCUAACCCCGGGGCUCAACCCCGGGCCGGGUCCCGGACUGGGCGGCUCGAGUGCGGUAGG